UGCGUAGGAUCCAGCGGACAAUUGAUCCUCCUGUCAUCGGUAUCGGAGUCGUCGAUGUUCUGCUGAUGCUCGCCGCAAUAAUUUUUGCCCUCGCCCACCGUCAUGCGACAGAAACGUUUUUUCCGUUUGACGAAGUACAUGCAGUGGCUACCGUUUGCCAUCUUUAUCUAACAAAGAUGACGUUACCAUUCGCUUUCCUCCCCGAGCAAGCUUGACGUUAAAUCUGUCAAUAUCCGCGACGAGGACGCCACGUGCAUCAAGCGCGAUUAUGCACGUAUCGAUUUUGAAAUCACGGAGAUGCUGUUAGGUCGUAACUUGGUACAAUUUUUCAGAAGCACUCUCGUUUCGGAAGCAUGCUUUGGCGCAUCCAUUCGGCCUUUGUUUUUAAGAACGAACAAAAAGAGAGUAACGGCGCGAAAGGAGGAGGAGGAAGAGGAGCAAGAGGAGAAGGAGAAGAAACGAAAACAAUCGAUACGACACACCGGCAAGGCCAAUCGUUCUAUUCGCGGUGUGGCCAAUCAAAAUGCCUACUACGUCGCCGGCAGGCCCGCUAAUUAGACGCCACGUAAAUCAGUCCUGAAACUCAACGUUAAUUAACACGGGUUUCCGUUGGAGUUGCUUAGCCACCUAUUUAUCGAACGACACAAACGCAAUAUGGUCGGACACGUGUACAUCCGUUAAAUACCUAUCCUGACUGGAGAAUGUCGGGCCGCGCGCACAUUUGCCGGCAAGU